rnacentral:lncRNA from 1 species
AUAUGGAAACUCCCAGGCUAGGGGUUGAGCAGACGGGAACUCCAUGGAUCACAGUUUCUAUGUCAAGUGGUAGGAGAGUCAUCUGCCCAAGAAAGGUACUUGGUACAAAAAAACUAAGACUAGUUAAUCUCAUUAAAAUUGAGGAACUGAUAAUGUUUUCAGAGGGAUUAUCUUCCAAGGAGUGACUAGGAUCCAAACUCAAAAAAUAAACAGAUUAAGACCAUUUCUUCAGUCUAGUUCCACAGUGUGUAUAUCAUGAACUUUGCCAAAGGACAGUUGAUAUUUUUCCUACCCCAUCCCCUUCAUUUGGUCACCCAAUUUCAACAGGAAAGCUGGGAGGGACUGGGAGUCUGGGGUUAACAGAUGCAAACUAUUGCCUGUGGAGUGGAUAAGCCAUGAGAUUCUACAGCGCCGCACAGGGAACUCUAUCUAGUCACUUAGGAUGGAACAUGAUGGAGGACAACGUGAGGAGAAGAAGAUAUAUACACGCGUGUGACUGGGUCACUCUGCUGUACAGUGGAAAUUGACAGAACACUAUAAACCCACUAUAAUGAAAAAAAUAAAAAUCAUUAAAAAAUAAAGCUAAAAUUCAGCAAUGUACUAAGUAUAGGGGGAAAAAACCAGAAACAGACAUUUGACACAACAGAAGUGGGAUCAGAUGACCUCUUCAUGCAAGUUAAGCACUGGCACCCUUCCUGACAAAACUGCCUAGUUAAAAUCCCAUUCAUUUGGUAAAUAUUUACUUACAGAACACCUUGUGGUGACUGGCACCACAACACUGGACACAGUAUGAGGCUAUCAAGGAACGUACAGUCUAGUGGGACACAUAGAAUCAUCACUGACGCAGCAACGGAGAUGCAGAAAGUACAACUGGGGCACGGAAGUUCAGCCCAGGCUGAUGAAUAAAGGCUCAGCCGUGGCCAGGAGGAGGAGGUUCUAGCUGAUUGACAUUGGCACAGGACCUUCCAGACAGGAGGAGGAGCAUGCGUAAGCAACACUGAGCACAGCACAGCCUCUGGGGAUAACUCGAACGUGGCACCGUGUGAGCACGCAGAGGGCACACUGGGGCGGGGGUGGGGGGGGUGCGGCUCUGGUUGGAAAUGGGCCUUCAGCACGCAGACAGGUGCCACAUCACAAAGGGCGGCGGCGGACCUUAUCCUGCAGGUGAAUGGUAAGCAGAGGAAUGAACAGUACAGUUAUGUUUCGGAAAGUUUACUUGGGUCACAGAGGAAAGAUGGAUUAAAAUGACUUAUUUAAGUCAUACUAGAGACUAAAACUAGUAAGAAAGCUAUUAUAUUACAGAAGCAGAGGUAAUGAGGGCCGGAACUUGAGAAGCAACAGUGGAAAUGGGCAUAAAGUGACCAAUUUAAAGAAGAUUCAGAAAGUAAAAUAUUCAUGAGGAGUUCCUAUCGUGGCUCAGUGGUUAACGAAUCCGACUAGGAAGCAUGAGCGGGUUCGAUCCCUGGCCUCGCUCAGUGGGUUAAGGAUCCGGCGUUGCUGUGAGCUGUGGUGUAGGUCGCAGACGAGGCUUGGAUCCACAUUGCUGUGGCUGUGGUGUAGGCCAGGCGGCUACAGCUCCGAUUGGACCCCUAGCCUGGGAACCUCUAUAUGCUGUGAUGCAGCACUAAAAAGACAAAAAAAAAAAAAGUAAAAUAUGUGACAGACACCACAGGUUCCCAGCUAACUGCCUGCCCACAACUCACCGUAAAGGCUAGAAGAGCCAGACAGGCCCCUUCUCAGCUUCACCACAGUCACCAGGGAGCCAACUCUGGACCGUCUCUUGGGAAAGGAGGGUGGCUGUGGCAAGGCCUUCCCCGUCUAUUCAAAAGAGAUGGAUGUGGAGGAAAGUCCUACUCACCUCUGUCUUCUCCUCCUGCUGACUGAGGACACUAUGUCGGGUGCUGUGACAGUCACUUUACAACUAGGAGGGGACAAAGCAAGAACAAAAGCCAACAUGCUGAGGACAGCAGAGUGGAAAGACGAAAAAGUCUUGGUCCCUGAGGACUGGCCGAGCUGCGGGGCUAAUGCAGGGACUGUUUAUUUCUGGCGUAAGUAUCCUUCCAGUUCAAGCCACUCAUUGUCAAGCUCUCUGUUACUUUCAAAUAAAAUUAACCAAACUAAGAGACAGGGCCUGGUGAGGUGCAGGGUUUGUAACAAAGAGGAAUUUAAGUUUUGUUCCGAAGGCUCUGCCUUGGAAACUGAGAAGAAGGUGCCAGUUACCAAGAUAAAAUUACAGCACAAGAGAUUUGCAUCUUGGGGCUGGGGGGUGAGGCGGAGGUGGGGGGUGGAGGAGAGGAGGAAGGGUCUAAGGGGGGGAGGAGAAAAGGAAAAAAGUUUGUUCCUGGGCAUGCCGACUUAGAGAUAUUACGGAAUCAAGGGAGCUCCCAUUGUGGCUCUUGGGCCAAGGGUCUGGUGUUGCCGUGAGCUGUGGUGUAGGCCGGCAGCUACAGUUCCAAUUAGCCCCCUAGCCUGAGAGCCUCCAUAUGCCAUAGGUGCGGCCCUAAAAGGCUAAAAAAAAAAAAAUUAUGGAAUCACCCAGGUGAGAAGUUUAUUGAGGUGACUCUGGAACUCUUUCAAACAGUCUGAAUGAGAUCGACAGAUGUGCGGGAAGCCAGAUCCUGCCCCAGCUGCACGGCUCACACUCCCUAAGGGAGACAAGAGACUCAGUGGAGUCCAGAUAAAAACUUCCUAAUGUGAAGAGUCCUAGAGAGUGUUAAUCUUCUACUAUGACUCUGAAGAUGUACAGAUACUCUUUAAAAGUAGGAAGAAAACGUUUUAUAGAAUGCAUCUACAGACAUUAUCAUAUUACUGCAUAUUUUUAUUUCAUAAAAACUCCUUAGUAGCCAAGAUAACUGGAGAAACCCAGUAUCUGGAUGGAGGACCAAUGAAGAGCUUGUGCUAAAGUGACUACACCAGAGAUGGGCGCAGCCACUGAAACCCCCGGCCUCACUGUGUGUGCUCGCAAAUCAGCAGUUUUGAAUCACCUCAUUCCCAAGACGCGGAAAGUAACUCCAGGACAGGUUUUACCGGGGGAUGGAUUACUCUGAAGCACAGAGAGGAACCUAAUCAUUGAGAAGGCAGCAAGCAAUAAUUAAGCACCACUGAGAAAGAUUAAGUAAGCUUCUGAGGGCUGGCGUAUUCCUCCAGGAGAAGGAAGUUAAUUCGGAUGACCCCGAAACAAUUAUUUUCACCCGUGGCAGAGUUAUGGAAGCACUGACCCGCAGCUCCCACCCUAGUGAAAAGGAAAAGCAGAGCAGGCAACAGUCUCACAGAGAAAGAGGCACAAGGAUACACAGCAAGUGGUCCCUAUAAACAGUGAUUAUAAGUGCAAAUCAAAGGCUGAUUUUCUUGUUUACAAAGCUGGGACUGGAUAGGUAGCUCAUGUACCAGGCCUGUAUGUAAGGACAGACGGACAGAUGCGGGCAAUCCUCAUCAAAAGCAUUUAUGACUAGCAAAGAUAAAAGGACUCUGCCCUUGCCAUCAAGCAAACAUGUUCAAAAACCAAAACAGACUUGAGAAAAAUAAGUAUAAUAGAUACAAAUUUUGUCUAUCAACCCACUGGUCUUCAUUCUAAAACCUAACUCUGAGCACACUGCUCCCCACCACGAACACUUUAAGAGGUUCCCUCCCGGCUCACAGCCUCCCUAAGCCCUUCACUCCAACCCCAAACUAAAUGUUUUGUCCCCUUUCACGCAUUCUAUCUACACUCUAGCCAUGAGGGGACCAGCGGAGAUCCCCCACCCAACCCGUGCUUUCCCACUCCUGCCACUCUGUUCCCACUGACUGUUCUCUGCCUGUGGACAUGCUGCCGGUCCUUCGGGCUUGACGUUCUGGAGCUUUCAGCAUCCCCGAUCCCACAAAGCACUCAGGCUCCCCCCUUUACAUCUUGUUCUGCUCUUAGCAAAAGUAGGCUAUUCUGUCUUGAUUUGUUACUACUGUGACAUUCUAAAUUCCUUAAAAGAAGAGAUAAUUCACUUUGGUGAUUUCUACAGGGUCAUAACUAAAUAACUGUAGGCUGCCAAGUUAGUGGCAUAAAACACAAACUGAAAGCUCUCAAAAAAACACACAAGGACUUCCUGUUGUGGCGCAGCGGAAAGGAAUCUGACGAGUAUCCAUAAGGACUCAGUUUCGAUCCCUGGCCUUGAUCAGUGGGUUAAGGAUCCGGAGUUGCUGUGAGCUGUGGUGUAGGUUGCCAACAUAGCUCGGAUCUUGAGUUGCUGUGGCUGUGGAGCAGGCCGUCAGCUGCAGCUCCUAAUCGACCCUUAGCCUGGGAACUUCCAUAUACCACAGGUGCGGCCCUAAAAAGCAAAAAAAAAAAAAAAAAAAAGAAUACACAAGCCUAGGUUUGAUAACUCAGCUAUAAAGACUCAUAUACCUCUGUUAGGAAGAAAAAGCAAUACAUAAGAAAUAAACACAGGAAUUAUGCAGUGGAGAAGAUAAUGAAACAGACUGUGGUCUAGAAAUUCUAGCUCCUACUUCGAAGUUAUCUGGCCGGGUUUAACCCACCCUUUUGUCUCUCUCUGCUCCCUCUGUAACUACCUCCUCUGCAAAGGCGAGGUGAAGAAUAAGAUCUUUGUUGUCUAGUUAAUACCUCUUCCUCUACCUUCGCAGAUUCCUUUUAGGCUCUGAAACCAUGGCCCCCUGGCCACUGCAGAAUUCUGACUUAUAAAGGAGUGGAAACCAUCUGCAAGAACAGGAAGACAGUGUUCUCAAUACAUCAUCAAGGAUGGUUUGUAACACUCUUCAUGAAUAAACAGUCAGAUCACUGAGAGGGUGGGGGGCAAAGACACGGUAAAAGGGAUAUAAGAAUUCUUGAAAAUAAAGGCAACUACAGCUCUCUGCAGAAAAAGGUUAAAUCUGGGGAAUUAUUUCUUAACCAGUCACAAAGGCCAAAGACCUUACAAAGCAGCACGAUUUUCUAGCAUCUCUAAUUCUGAUUAUUCUUCUCUGAAACUUUUGCUACAGUGUUCCACUUUUCUUAGAGCCUACACCAAGCUAUGUCCUACUCUCACGAAUUCCCAGAUUGCGGCAUGGGAAUUCUCUUCUACCCAAGAUACGACACUGGAAAUUUAAAAACUUAAAGACAAUGCAAGAGAACCAAAACUUUAGGUCUAUGAAGGAGAACAAGACUCCCGACCUUUAGUAUUUCUGUUCUUUUGCAUCCAGCAAAAACAAUGAUGGGAACGUUCGGUCAAUCCGAAAAGAAAUUUUAAACAACGCAAAGAGAGGUAACCGCUUACAAAGCAAAAACUAAUCAACCCAAAGCCAUACAAACCCAAGCAUGCCUCUAACUGCAACAAUAAUUUUGUACUGGGUGUUUCAAUGGCAAACCGAUCCUUGGACUCGAUUCUGUGGGCUUAGAAUACACCAAAGGCAGAUGACAUAACAAACAAGUUCUUCCCGUCCCUCUCCUGUGGUCACGUCAGAUACCUGUUGCAUCACCCGGAAAGUGGUCUCCAGAAUCCAGGAAAGGCGCACCACCAGGAUCCCUAAAUAAGGCAGCCGGACUAUCUGCUGGAUCAAUUUUAGCCUCCAGUCAUUUUAAUGAGGUUGCCUUGGAGGCAGGGGUGUGUUGGCUCCUGUUCACCUCUGAAGUCAGUCUCCAGCACAAGCGGUGACUUUCUGGACUUAAGAGGGGCUUGGGAGUUUCCAAGGACUUGGGCAUGAACAGAGAUGUGCGGCUCGGCAGGAGGAGAGGGGAGGGGAGAGCGGGCAAAUCGAGUGGGAGAAGCAGGGCAGCCCCGGAGCCCCGGUGGUGGCGUGGGAAGUCCGACCGGCGACCUAAGCUUCGUGGAAAGGACUCGGCUCGUCGGCCAGGGAGUGGGGCCCAGCUCAAGGUCCGAGCCACGUCGGGGCACGCGAGAGGUUCAAGGCGAACCAAAUCUCGGCCAAAGCCCAAGGGCAGCCUGGGCUACGCGAAAAAGCGCGCCGACGUCGGCGGGGAUUAAGAAAAUAUUACUCCC